UACGGGGGGAGCAAGCGUUGUUCGGAUUUACUGGGCGUAAAGGGCGCGUAGGCGGCCACCGCAAGUCGAUUGUGAAAUCUCCGGGCUUAACCCGGAAAGGUCAACCGAUACUGCGGGGCUAGAGUGCAGAAGGGGCAACUGGAAUUCUCGGUGUAGCGGUGAAAUGCGUAGAUAUCGAGAGGAACACCUAUGGCGAAGGCAGCUCUCUGGGACGGUACUGACGCUGAGACGCGAAAGCGUGGGGAGCGAACAGG
rnacentral:rRNA from 1 species